AGUUGGUGGAGUGAUUUGUCUGGUUAAUUCCGUUAACGAACGAGACCUUAACCGGCUAAAUAGUCAUGCGAUUCUCGAAUCGUAGCUGACUUCUUAGAGGGACUGUUGGUGUUUAACCAAAGUCAGGAAGGCAAUAACAGGUCU
rnacentral:rRNA from 1 species